AGCGAACGCUGGCGGCAGGCUUAACACAUGCAAGUCGAGCGGAAACUCCGUGGUCAGCUGCAGACGGGUGAGGGACACGGGGUAACGUACACUUGGGUUCCGAAUCAUUCUGUUUAACUUACGCUCAGACAGGUUACGCUCUUUUGGGAUAGGGCUUGCUGCCGUAGGAUCGGGCCGCGUCUGUUUAGCUGGUUGGGGGGGUAAUGGCCUACCAAGGCGUCGAUCAUUAGCUGGUCUGAUAGGAUGCUCAGGCACGCUGGGGCUGCGACCCGGCCGCGAAUCCUACGGAAGGGAGCAGUGGGGAAUAUUGGACACUGGGCGCAAGCCUGAUCCAGCCAUGCCGCGUGAGUGAUGAAGGGCGUAGGGUUGUAAAGCUGUUUUGUCCGAGACGAUAAUGACGGUACCGGAAGAAUAAGCCCCGGCUAACUUCGUG
rnacentral:rRNA from 1 species